UCUAAAUAAUCCAACUAUUUGGUUCAGUUUCGUUUUGUUAGAAGAUUUGCUGCAAAAUCGGGAAACCUCAGUUUUGGUGGUCAAGUUGGAUUUGAGUUCCAGACAAGAGCAGCCUGUGAAGCUAGUGAUCCCUCAAAUGCGAACAUCCUCAUCUUUGGCCCUUUGAUAGUUGUCCAGGAAAGUUUGAUGUCCGGGCUGGAAAAUAUCAUUAAAUCAUGGAACUUUUGUCAGAAAACGACACUGAAAUAAACGAGCUACCUCAUAUGAGAUGUCUGGAUGAGCAUGAUAUCCGCAAGAGACGUCCUUAUUAAAUUUCGUAUACAAUUUAAAAGGAAUUUUAAGGAAAUUUUAAAGGACAAUCCCGUAAUCCAUGGUAGCAUUGCAGACAAGAGUAUCCUGAUAUGAAAUACUGCAAUUUCAUGCUUCUCCAUGGACUAAAACCGGAACGGUUUAAGGAAAACGACAAGUUCUUCAAACCUACAAUUAAAGGUAGUCAGGACAGCAUGGCAAACGACAUCGACAAUAUGUUUCGAAAGUGAAGGACUAUGCUGCAUUUAAAAUAUC